CUCGAUGUUUUGAAGUUUGGCUCUUUAGAUAUGUAGAGUCACUCACUACACAGAAAGGAGCCGGCCACUCCCAUGUGAAAAUGACUAAUUAACUUUUCUUUAUUUUUACAAUCUUAUUCCUAAUGGGAUUCGGUUCAUUUACUAUAUAUUGAAGUAGUUAACUUAACUGAAUGUUCCCAAAAGAAAAAAAUAGCUAACUGAAAGAAACAUGGAAAUAUUGAAUAGACAACUAAAAGUUUAGAAAAUAGCUAGCAAAAUAACAUCCAAAAUAUCCAAAAAUAUGAAGAACUAUCAAAACUUAUUUGAAAUAUCCGAGCAUAAAUAUUUAAUCUUUAUUGUGUGACAUGAAACAUGCGGAUCAUCGUUAUAAGUUUUGAUUAUUGGAAGUUUAGUGUGAUUUUUAGAUGUCAGUUUCAAAUGCAUGCAUUGCUCGCACUCGAAUUUAACCGCGGUUAGAGCCGUCAAAUUUUCAAAACUGACAAAAAAAAAAAACUUGUGCAAUAUAAAGAUAACAUGAUUGAUAUUCAACGUAGAUUUCGUAGCUACUAUACCAAUGAAUCAAUCCAGAUGACGGCCUAUAAAAUUCAGGGAUUUAAUAGUGGGCUCCAAGCCCGCAUGUUGAAUUAGAUACAGUCCAUGUAAGACUAUAUUAAACCGACAUAAUCAAUUAAUCAUCAUAAGCUGGUCACAGAGUCACAUGACUCGUCCGUAUUGGACCAGACCUCUGGGAUUACCGCAAGUCGCAACAUCUCUAACAAAACCAAACCACCUCUGACGUGCCGACCUGUAUUUCGCAUCGUCUAAAAGCAAAGAUAAACACAGAUGGUAAAAGUAAAACACGUGAAUAUUCUUCAUUUUCUACACAUAUUUUUACAAUAGAAUCUUCGAUUGGAACAGGUAUAAAUUAAUCUUGAUUGAUCCCAAUAUAUAAAAGAGAUCUAUAUAUAUAAAAAUAUGUUCGCCUCACUCCUGCUUUGCCACGUCAUAAAGUCGGUUUCUGACAAGCCGACUCGUGUCCGGUUUGGGAUGAUACUCACCGUUUCACUCAAUCGCAAUUAUUAAUGGGCUUUUCUCUUUUUGUUAAUAAAUAUUUUAGAUCGGUGUUUUGAGCUUAACAUAAUUGGGAUUCUGGGCUGUAAAGUAACACAUGAGGGGGUCCCACAUGAGACGGCUUCUUCUCCAAAAAUAAUGUCGACGAACGAAAGACAGAUCUGCUGCGUUUUAACAACUCCGGUUCAAACCUACGGCCAAUGAAGAUUUGCUGCACCGGCCACGCUGAAUUCCGAUCAAGGUCAGUUGGAAAGCGUCGUAUUUGGCUGUUCGAUUCCACUUCUUCUACCCUUGAUUGAAUUUUGGAACCGUUACAGAAGUCGGUUGGAUUCAUGCAUCCUCAUUGACUAUCACAUUAAAUCAUUCAAUGAACCCCCUCAUUAAAACAUUUUAACUCAAAUAUAACUAAUCUUAACAUAAAUAAUCCUUCGACAUCCUAAAAUUCUCAAAACCCAUAAACAUUAUUAUAUACUUCUCUUAACAAAAUGUUACAAAACAUACAUACAAAGGGAAUAUACAAUUACAUCACAAAAAAAAACAUGAAUUACUUUAGGAAUGACUUCAAGUUUUGAGUCAUAUUCGCAAAAAAAACUCUUAAAUAAGUUAGUUUAAUUAAGAAUAUUAUAAAACAAAACAUUUGAAUUAAAAUAAAUAUUAAAAAUAUAAUGUUAUUUAUCAGAGAAUAGUGAAAUGUACUAUCAUUAUAAUUCAAAACAAAAAAAAUAAUUAUAAUGAUCUCAUAAGUCUUUCAUUAUUUUUUCGUGUAUAAUAUUUUUUAAUCUAUCAUAAUUUUAAAUUACUUCAUAAAUUAUUAUAAAAUCACUUUUAUUAUAACUUCCCGCCCGUAGGGCGGACCGGUCCUAGUUCCAAUAAAUAAAAAGGACUGAGAGAGUGUUUUCAGCCUAUCCACUUCAGACUAAAAAAUCAACCAAUCACGAAGCUUUAUAGUUCCACGUCACAUCUAUAUUUUGUCGACAAAGAAUAUAACCGGGCCAGUAAAUUUGGGCUGAACAAAAUUGAAAGUAGCCUUCUAUGGAAUAGCCCAUCUCUUUUUCUAAGCAGAAUGUUCGUACCGCUCUUGCUCUUGCUCUUGCUCCUAUCUUCAUUAGAAUAUCUUUCCACCUCCCUUUGUUUCUCCUCUUAUAUAAACCCCUUGAUGAUAAAACAGGUCCGUUAACUAUUGUUAUCCGAGCCGAGUUAUCUAAAAUACGAACCCUCGACUCGAGAUUCAUUACACCACGACGAUUUGUUGUUCUCUACCUCUGAAAGUCAGAGUCGAGAAAGUUAUAAAGUAAGAUGAGCAAGAAAUAAAAGAGUAAAAAAAAAGAAAGAUUGUGGAUGCGCAGUUGUAUGAGAAUAAUUUCAGUAGAGGAGGAAACUAUAUGGAGAGGAGCAAGCAAGAAGCUUCACCCGAGAAAGUAAAUUCAUCUUACUGUCAGCAGAAAGAAUAAGUCUGAUAAGAAGAAAGAAGGUGAUGAUGAUGAGAUCAACAGCAGAUUGAGUUUGGGAACACUUUCCUUCCAGCCUAACUUCCUGUUUCCGGUUUAGGUAAUGUUAAUCUUUGCUCGAUUUGAUUUAAUAUGUAUGUGGUGAUGUCCUAUUUUGUUGCAUAUGGCUGACAUCAUCUGAUUGCUUUCAUCUUCUCCUCUUGAAGAAUAGCAUUUUUUUUUGUCAGAUUGAUUGAGCUUAGAAUCAUUAUUUUGUUUCCUCAUGUAUUCGUAUAAUGAUUUGUAUUCUCUAUUUUCGUUACAUGUAAUAUUAAAUUUCAAUUUUUCAGGCAUAAAGUUAAAUGUAAUAGUUAACAUUGGUGAUUCUUUCUGAAUCUCCAAAAAAUUCAUAAUUUUCUCAGCAGAUUCUUGAAAAUGAUCCCUAAUAAGUCUCAGAUCUGCGAUGGCUACUUCAUAAAAUCAAUUGAAGGAGACAUGCUGGAUUAUCUUUAAACAAUAAAGCAUCUUUUGCUUUCCAUUUUUCAUAUUUUUGUAUUUAGCCAAUAUCAUACGUCUCACUUAUUUCAGGUACGUUCACCUAGAACCUGAGAUUUACCUGGAUCCAAAGAAAUAUGAGCCUUCAAGAUGGGAGGUAUGUAGAUAUACCAGAUUUGUGGUGCAUUCAACAAUUAAACUCUCUUUGUAAUUUGUAGUUGUUGUUGCAAAAGAGUAGCUAAACACGGUCAAGUUCAUUCUACAAGGAUACAUGCCAAAACCAGGUACAUUCCUUCCUUUUCAUUUAUGAAGCGAUCUUUGUGCCGGGAACGAUCUUGCGAAGCUCGAGAUUUCCAUUUUUCUUCAUCUUUGACCACUGAAGAUGGGGUUAGCUACUGUCGCUUUGAAGCUGUGGGUUAUGACUUCAACACUAUCCAGCUGAAUCAGCUGGUGAGAAGGCUUCUGUCUUGCUUUGAUCCCAACAAAUUCUCUGUAGAGUGUCGCUGUGAGCGCGUACAAGCCGGAAAUUAGUGUAUACUUGGAAGAUUAUGGGUUUAGAGAGAGGACAUUUGAGUCUCUAGGAGAAGAGGGUAGACCAGUGAUGUAUCAUACGUUUGAGAAGCUUGGCAAGUAGUGUGCGUCGCCUAGAUCCACCUUGAAGUAGGACUGGAGCAGGCUGAGCAGCAAUAACAAAGGGACACGAGGGAAUCUAGCAGAAUUUUAUCUAAACUAUUUUCGAUCUUUUUGUUUUUGCAUUUUUUAAAGUAGUGAAUAAUGAUUUCUGAAAUUAAGGUAUUCCGUUCACAAGCAUGUGUGUUGUACAAUUUCGCUUUAAUACAGUAUAUGGAAUACUAUUAUGAUU